rnacentral:rRNA from 1 species
CAGCAGUGGGGAAUAUUGGACAAUGGGCGAAAGCCUGAUCCAGCCAUGCCGCGUGUGUGAAGAAGGUCUUCGGAUUGUAAAGCACUUUAAGUUGGGAGGAAGGGCAGUUACCUAAUACGUGAUUGUUUUGACGUUACCGACAGAAUAAGCACCGGCUAACUCUGUGCCAGCAGCCGCGGUAAUACAGAGGGUGCAAGCGUUAAUCGGAAUUACUGGGCGUAAAGCGCGCGUAGGUGGUUUGUUAAGUUGGAUGUGAAAUCCCCGGGCUCAACCUGGGAACUGCAUUCAAAACUGACUGACUAGAGUAUGGUAGAGGGUGGUGGAAUUUCCUGUGUAGCGGUGAAAUGCGUAGAUAUAGGAAGGAACACCAGUGGCGAAGGCGACCACCCUGGACCUNAUACKACACUGA